rnacentral:rRNA from 1 species
GGACAACCUGCCUCAAGGCUGGGGAUAACAUUUGGAAACAGAUGCUAAUACCGAAUAAAACUUAGUGUCGCAUGACACAAAGUUAAAAGGCGCUACGGCGUCACCUAGAGAUGGAUCCGCGGUGCAUUAGUUAGUUGGUGAGGUAAAGGCUCACCAAGACAAUGAUGCAUAGCCGAGUUGAGAGACUGAUCGGCCACAUUGGGACUGAGACACGGCCCAAACUCCUACGGGAGGCUGCAGUAGGGAAUCUUCCACAAUGGGCGAAAGCCUGAUGGAGCAACGCCGCGUGUGUGAUGAAGGCUUUCGGGUCGUAAAGCACUGUUGUAUGGGAAGAACAGCUAGAAUAGGGAAUGAUUUUAGUGUGACGGUACCAUACCAGAAAGGGACGGCUAAAUACGUGC